UACGGAGGGUGCAAGCGUUAUCCGGAUUCACUGGGUUUAAAGGGUGCGUAGGCGGGCAGGUAAGUCCGUGGUGAAAUCCCCGAGCUUAACUCGGGAACUGCCAUGGAUACUAUUUGUCUUGAAUAUUGUGGAGGUAAGCGGAAUAUGUCAUGUAGCGGUGAAAUGCUUAGAUAUGACAUAGAACACCAAUUGCGAAGGCAGCUCGCUGGGACGUGACUGACGCUGAGACGCGAAAGCGUGGGGAGCAAACAGG
rnacentral:rRNA from 1 species